rnacentral:antisense_RNA from 1 species
CCUUAUGGUGGUCGUGCGCAGGGCGUCUUCGGGCGCGCCGGUUUCCAAUUGCACCGGUCUGCUAAUCUGCGUACGGCUGCCACCUCU